UAAUAUUUUUUUUUAGGCAACUCAGGUUAUUAAAGGGUUAUGAGGCUGGUGUAUAGAAAAUGUCUUUGCUUGUGUGUGUGUUGUUUACAAGUAAUUUUAAGUUGAAUAAUUUUUAGUUUUUUUUUUUACAGGCACACGCUUGUGAGUCUGAGACUGGAUGAGGGGCAUUGUUUGUCUGUGAGUCUGAGACUGGAUGAGGGGCAUUGUUUGUCUGAGUCUGAGACUGGAUGAGGGGUAAGUUUUGCACUUCUGUACCAAAUAAAGAAUAUAAACUAUAUCUUAAGAUAAGUCAAUAUUUGAACCACUUCUGAUUUUUUCCCCUACAUUUCUAUCAUUAGACAGCUGAGUUCGAUCUGUGUCCGGGUUAUAGGGUGGAAGAUGUUGGAGAGAGGAAACGAUUUCGCUGCGAUUGGAGAUGCAGAUCC